UGCAGCAGGUCCGGAGCCGCUGUCAGGAGGAUGCAGACCGUCCCUCUGAGCUGUGGACCGUUGUGGGUCCAAGACACCAGGAAUAAAGGAAGCCCAGCAGAUUCUUUGCCAUCGUGGGUGUUCAUCCUCAUGGGAACAUUCAUGGUGCACCCGAGAUAAAUGCCUUUCCCCAAGAGGGGUAGACCACGCCCAUCCUUUUCUUGCCUGGAAGCCAGUGUGAAUCCCCGAUAGCAUGGAAGACUUGGUGGGGGAGAGCUCCAGGGUGGGGGCAGGUGUGUGUGAAUCCCCUGGGUUCGGAGCA